UGUGUAGAUGGACCUGCCGUUCUCUGGCUUUGAGCUGACCUUCAUCAUCAUUGCCUUCGUCAUCUUCUCGCUCUUCAGCUUGGCUUCAGUCUGCAUCCAACCACAAGCAGCAGAUCUGGAAGAAGGUCUCUAUAAAGCAAAGAAGUCACGGACAUUUAAAAAAAAGGAGAGAGUGAUCAUCAAGCAAGCCGGACAGAGACCAUAAAGUCAGAGAUCUCUAUCUUGAUGUGGUGUACCAGAGGGUUUUCAAUGCGCCAUGAAGUUCUCUCAAAAGACUCAAAAUGAACUGAAAACAUCCCAUUUUAUUCAGCUUUUUUCUUUUUAUUUGUCUAUAACACAGACUUUUCCCAACAAUAACCUUUUCCCCCCAUGAAUGAUGCAGUCUGCCUUUGAGCAAAUAAGAAACCUCUUCUACAAAUGUAAAAAAAGGUCAAAGUCUGAUGACAGUCAUGUAUUAUGAAUAGUCUGUAAAUAAAUUAAAGUCUUAGGUAAGAAGGUGAAAUUGUUGAAACUACAAUUGUAAUGGACUUACAGAUUAGUUGUAAUUACAAGCUAACCUUAAAAAUGUAGCUGCACUGGUUAACCAACACGGAGCACCUGCAUUAUACAGCUGAGGCAAUGCUUCUUCUGAGGACGCAUACAAAUCCUACCUCCUCACCCAAUAUCGGUCCUAUCUCUUGUCUAUAAAAUACACCAAUCAGCCAUAACAUUAUAACCACUGACAGGACGAAUAACACUGAUUAUCUCGUUAUCAUGGCACCUGUCAGUGGGUGGGGUAUAUUAGGCAGCAAGUGAACAUUUUGUCCUCAAAGUUGAUGAAAAAUGGGCAGCGUGAGGAUUUGAGCGACUUUGACAGGAGUUAAAUUGUGAUGGAUAGAUGACUGGAACAUCUCCAAAACUGCAGCUCUUGUGGGGUGUUCCCGGUCUGCAGUGGUCAGUACCUAUCAAAAGUGGUCCAAGGAAGGAAAAGUGGUGAACCAGACUGAGACAGGGUCGUGGGCGGUCAAGUAUCAUUGAUACAUGUGGGAAGAGAACGGUUCAUGCUGGUUCUGAUAGAAAGGUGUCAGAACACACAGUGCAUCACAGUUAGUUGUGUACGGGGCUGUAUAACAUUAUGACCACCAGGGUGCCCAGGUUGCUGAUGGGUGUAUAACUUUUGAUUGUUGGAUUAUGUUAUAGUAAAUGGACUAAAAUGGAAUAAAAAGGUCUAAAAGGGAACAUCUUUGCAGAUAAAGCUCUGCUUUGUAGAUAUAAGUGAAGUGCUUUCUCUUUCUCUCCCAUCUGUAGAUUUCAUGAAGUAUGCGAUACUUUAUGAGCACUAUGAAAAAAAACAGAUGACUCAAAGUUAAAUGAGGAAGAGCAGACAUUAAGCAGAACCAUGAUGCUGUCCUCUGUGUCCUCUGUGUAUGUCUUGAAGUGCACGGCCACAAAACAAGAAACAUCCAUACUGCACUUUAAAAACUCAAGCCACAGCACGGACACUGGGGUUUGUGUGUCCAGAAAAGCCGCUGUGUCUGGGUUAGGAUUUAACAAACCAAGUGACUUUUGGCCCUAUUGGGGUGACAUCCUGGGGGGUUAGAGGCUGCUCCCUGUUGAGUUUGCCCCUUGACCCCUGAGCCCUCCGUCACUCCUCCACAGUCAGCCGUCUAGUUGCCGACGCGGAGGGGAGGAGGCGCUCCAGAAUAAAGACGAAGUUAAUCAACCUGAGAUUCUAUCUUUUUCUUCAUAGAGCAGCAGAAGAAAACAGAACGCCCGGCUCAUUUGUGUUGUGUGAUGUGUCCCAAUGGGCCAUACAGUUAGUGUGUGUAUUGGGUGUUCACUGCUGUUCAUGUGUAUAUGCGUCCAUUGGGGACUGUAUUGGGCAAUCGGAGAUAAAGAGCCUUAAGAGUAAUUAAGCUGGCUGCGGCCCUCAUUAACACUGACGACCUUAUGGCAUGACAACAGACCCACUAUCACUCUAACGAUGGACAACGAACUGACCCAUCAGAUCACACACAUCGGACUACACCCCAAAAAAUUCAGAUCACCUACUCCACUGUCCACUAGAAUGAAGUAAAACUACUGUCAGUGCAACGCAGGUUAUAUUGUAGAAGCUCUAGCUUUCAGUUUAACUGGUUCUGAUAACAUUGCAUUUACAAAACGUAACAUCACUACAAAUACAAAGGCAAGAAAGAAUCACACGCUCUUCUUUUUUAAAAACGAGGACAAAUUAAAGCAAAAAACUUAAAUAAAGAAAUACAGAAAUAUUCUAUUUAUGGCAAACAGUGUCAAUGAAAGGUAAGUGAAUAUUAAGUAGAUGAUAUGGAUAAAACACUGUAUCACAGUUUAUGUACUUUUAUAUCACAAUAUCAUUCAGGGCUGCAACUAUUUUUAUUACCAAUUAAUCUUAAUUGGUAAUAAACCUAAUAAGGUGACAAAUUACUUGUUAAGUGCGAACAGCAGUCUUAAAAUGCAGAUUUUCAGUUCAUUAUAACUAACAUAAUAUAAAGCAAGGCAGAAAAUCUAGAUUCUCUUACAUCUGAGAAGUUAAAAAGGAAAUAUUUGGCAUUUUUGCUUGAGAAAUAACUCCAGUGAAUGUUCAGUUAGCACAAAUAUUGUAUCAAUCAACUGUAAAACAGGAUAUAAAACAGUUGCACCUCUAAUAUGAAUAUAUAUUGUGAUAAUGAGUAACGCUAAUUUCCCCAAAAUUAAAUCUCUAUAAUGUCUGGAAAGGACAGGUAUGUCAGUUUUUGGUUUGAUACCUGACAGUGAUGCACAAAUUGUAUAAAAUUUUAAUGUUACCAUGCAGCUGUUUGUAUUUAUCUGUAUGUAUGUCAGUAUUUGUCCGUGUUAGGCGUACCUGUGUACAAUGCAAUAAUGUUCGGCACAGUGGAAAAGAAACAGUCUUUUUUUAUGACACACUGUUCCUCUUAACAAGUUUUAUCAGAGGGGAAGUUCUUUAUCUGUGUGUCCUGGUCAGGAGAGGAUGGGAGAGGAAGAAGAAAGCGAAAAUUCAGAAGGGGAGGAGAGGCUGAAGCUUCCUCUGUAGUCGUAAAGAUCACAGCUAACUAGGAAGACCGUGACUACUAUAACAGCAGCUAUAACGGCAGCUCUGCAGUCUAAGUCUGUCCAACUCUUUCCUGAGUUACACACUCAUACAUGAUGCAUGUAAAGGGAUAAUGCGCACUAUUCUACUCGUAGUCUGAUGUUUAACUUUGUGAUCUUUUGUUUCCGUACACGCAGCAGAUGACUACUUCUACAUCUAUAUUUACUGACUUUCACUCUCCAGUCCUUCUGUGCUCAGAGUCUGUUGAGUUAAACUACAAAUGAAGGUGAAAAGAUCUUAAGGGAGAAGAUCAGUGACAGUAUAUAUAAGGAUAAGAUGCUUAUUGUUAUAUGGAUAUGAUGCAAGUUGUACUAGAGCUGAUUAACCAUUGAAGUCAUUUACAAAACACCAAACAUCCUCUGGUUCCAGCUUCUCCAAUGUGCUUCCUUUGUCUGUUUUAUAUCAUAAUAAACUGGAUAUCCUUUG